UGAGGAAUAUUGGUCAAUGGCCGGAAGGCUGAACCAGCCAAGCCGCGUGAAGGACGAAGGUGCCAAGCAUUGUAAACUUCUUUUGUCAAGGGACAAAAUCAGGCUCGAGAGCCUGACCGAGGGUACUUGAGAAAAGCAUCGGCUAACUCCGUGCC
rnacentral:rRNA from 1 species